CCUACGGGAGGCAGCAGUAAGGAAUAUUGGUCAAUGGACGCAAGUCUGAACCAGCCAUGCCGCGUGGAGGAUGAAGGUCCUCUGGAUUGUAAACUUCUUUUAUCUGGGAAGAAAUGUCGGUUUUCUAACUGGCUUGACGGUACCAGAUGAAUAAGCACCGGCUAACUCCGUGCCAGCAGCCGCGGUAAUACGGAGGGUGCAAGCGUUAUCCGGAUUCACUGGGUUUAAAGGGUGCGUAGGCGGAUUUGUAAGUCCGUGGUGAAAUCUCCGAGCUUAACUCGGAAACUGCCAUGGAUACUAUAAGUCUUGAAUGUUGUGGAGGUUUGCGGAAUAUGUCAUGUAGCGGUGAAAUGCUUAGAUAUGACAUAGAACACCGAUUGCGAAGGCAGCAGGCUACACAAAUAUUGACGCUGAGGCACGAAAGCGUGGGGAUCAAACAGGAUUAGAUACCCUGGUAGUCCACGCCCUAAACGAUGAUUACUCGACAUUUGCGAUACACAGCAAGUGUCUGAGCGAAAGCAUUAAGUAAUCCACCUGGGAAGUACGACCGCAAGGUUGAAACUCAAAGGAAUUGACGGA
rnacentral:rRNA from 1 species